UACGUAGGGUGCGAGCGUUGUCCGGAAUUAUUGGGCGUAAAGAGCUCGUAGGCGGUUUGUCGCGUCUAUCGUGAAAACCUGCAGCUUAACUGUGGGCUUGCGGUGGAUACGGGCAGACUUGAGUUCGGUAGGGGAGACUGGAAUUCCUGGUGUAGCGGUGAAAUGCGCAGAUAUCAGGAGGAACACCGGUGGCGAAGGCGGGUCUCUGGGCCGAUACUGACGCUGAGGAGCGAAAGCGUGGGGAGCGAACAGG
rnacentral:rRNA from 1 species